UCGCCGAUUCCAAAGUUGGCGCCCCUCGCGCGCUUCAAAACUCUCCUCGCUUGACGCGAUGCUCUCUCCCUGCGAUUGAUUUGGCGCUGCCGACGUCGAUGCUUCCCCUCUCCGUGAUCGUUUUCGCCUCACGCGCUGAACUCUUGUAGCUGUGUUCGUCUAAUUCUUCGGCGAGUUUUGUCAUUUUUCUCAGCUGACCUGCUCUCGCUCUGCGUUUCUGGCGGGAGGGUCGCUUGCUGCGAUCGGGCUGUUUCAAUGUAGUGUGUUGUGGUUGUUUGCAGCGCGGAGAAGAGGAGGAGUCGCUGCUGGAUUUCGGUUUUUGGAUAGUUUCUCUUCGACCCGUCGUUUUGCGAGAAAAGUUGGAUGGUGUUUUGUUUGUUGGUUAGCGCCGGUUCUGGCGUUGCCUUGUGAAUGGCGUUUGUGAGUUAGUGGAUUGGGAAGCUCUCUCUAAGGAGAUAGUGGGAGUGUAAACUUCACUGGAGCGCGUAAGAGGUGAGGCUAUAUAUAUAUAUAUAUAUAUAUGUAUAGAACUUUUUUUUCUUCUCGUAUCCGUCGAGAAUUCGUCGCUGGAAUGGCGCUGUGUUUCGACGCUUUGCUCUUGGAAGGCCAGGUUGAAUUUUUCAGCAUGGAGUUCGCGCCUCAUCUGUGGACUCGAAGGAGUAAUUGGUAACAUCAUUGCAGCUCUGAGUUCCGAGAUCAACGGCUGGAGCAUGAAGAGUACCUUGGAAUCCAUAGUGAUGAGUUUCUUUCACUCAAGCGUCCGCUCAUAUACUUAUAGUAUCAGGGUUUCAAGUUUGUGUGUUAUACUCGGUCAGCAUGGAGUAACGAAAAUGGUUGCUUGGAGAAGAAGUCUUGCGUUAUAAGCCCAAUGUGACUGGAGGAGGAUCGCCCGAGAGCUGUCGUAUUUGGGAGGAUGGGAAGACCCAAGAGCGCGAAGAUUCCUGUGAAGGAUAUGCCCAAGGAGGAUGGCCGAAAGAAGGGAAAGAGGGAUGACGAUGGAUUUGCGUUCAUAUGCGAUGUGUGCAGCGACUUUGGGGAGCUGCUUUGCUGUGAGAGGUGUCGUAGUGGUUUUCACCUCUCUUGUCUUGGGCUUGAUAAAUGCCCAGAUGUUGAACCCUGGUUGUGUUCAAGCUGCGCAGAAAACAAGGUGCGUUGCUUCAAGUGCAAGGCCUUUGGUUCUUUGGAGGUGGAUCUUGUAAAAUGUGCUCACAGGAAUUGUGGAAAGUAUUAUCACAAGGAUUGUUCGAAAGGAUGGGUUCGCAUUCCUCCGAAGAAAACCGAUAACGGUGCUAUGGUGUGCCCCCGACAUCAUUGCGACGCUUGCCGUAAAUGUCAGAAGAAUGCAAAGCUGCACCGAUGUUUAUACUGCCCUGUCGCUUAUCAUGAAUCGUGCUCACCAGAAGGCACCAAUUUGCUAGAAGAUAUUCCCGGAUAUUUGCUGUGCUGGAAGCAUGAUGAUGAAUGGAAGCAUGAAUACAAGGACGCACAGCCAAUCAGUGAUCCCAAGAUUUCUCUGGAGAGAUUACCAUUGCCCAAUACUGCAAUCGAUUUCCAACUUCCCCGUGCUAUUUUUGAUGCCGUGCGCUGCAUGCCGAAUAAACCUCCCUCCUAUUGCCACAUCAGGCGCAACAUUUACCUAGUUAAAAAAUCAAAGCGGUGGCAACAAGAUGAGAAGAUGGAAUGUUUGUGCAAGCCCACAGUGGGAUCCAGUGAGACCUGCUCAAAAGACUGCCUUUGUGGGAUGCUCUUUAUGACCUGCUCAAGCAAUUGUGGUUGCGGUGAUUCCUGCACCAACCUUCCAUUUCAGAAGCUCCCUGGAAGUAAAAUGAAAGCCGUAAAGACAGAGAGAUGUGGAUGGGGGUUAGUAGCAGAUGAAGACAUCAAGGCAGGCUCGUUCCUCGUCGAGUAUGUGGGGGAAGUCAUUGACGAUCAAACAUGUGAGGAAAGGCUAUGGGCAAUGAAGAAACAGGGCGAGAUGAAUUUUUACAUGUGCGAAAUUAGCCGUGAAAUGGUUAUAGAUGCGACUUUCAAGGGCAACUUGUCUCGAUUCAUUAAUCAUAGCUGCCAGCCCAACAGUGAGCUGCAGAAAUGGGAUAUUGAUGGUGAGACUCGGAUUGGGGUGUUUGCAAUCACUGAUAUUAAACGUGGCGACUUUGUGACUUAUGACUAUCAGUUUAUUCAGUUCGGCUCAAAAAAUCAACACUGUCACUGUGGAGCCCCAGAAUGCCGAGGUCAGCUUGGAAAACCAAUGAAACAGCAAAAGGCCAGUGAAGACAUUGCUCAUAUUAAUUGUGCCCUCCCCCAAACCCUGAAAAAGUCAAACUUGUGUGGGAACUUUAGUCUGAAACAUGCGCCCCUUCAGCACAGGCAUUAUCAAAGGAGAUCCGCAAGCAAUGAUACCAGCGGAGAUGCAGGAACUGGGGGUAUGCUUUGGAACAUUUUUGAAACAUUAUUGCAAUGUGGUACGUAAUUGGGUGGCCUUUCUAGGGACACCAACCCCUCGAUAUGACCAGUUGGGAGGGGUGAAGUUAGUGGGUCUCCGCAUUAAAAUUUGGUGGCCGCUUGAUCAGAAGUAAGAACCUCCUCAAUUUGCAGUUUUACAAUGCAUUUGCGACUUGUAACGAAUUUUUGAAGUCAGUCUUAUAUCUUUAUGAUUGAUACAUGUAACCAAUACGUUUUCUCUUUCUUUGUCCUCUUUCGGUACAUUGGAGGUUCCAAGAAUAUUUUGCUUAUGGUUGGGAAACCCUACAGUGUUUAAACCUACCCUUCUCAUUCGACGCCACGGCUCUCCAUCCAAUUUCCAUUGAAUUAUCAUUCGAUCUUGUGAUGAUGUGGAAGUGAUGACUGAAACGUGAUCGCCACCUACGUAAAAAUACGAGAUUUUGCAUCCUCUCUUGGUUUUACCAUGUUCUUGUUUUAAACAAACGUGAUAUGUGGUCGAAGUAUCAAGCGAAUGUUUCCUAUUUGAUAUAGUGUUCUUGAGAGCAGGUUUUACCAUGGGGAGGUUUUGAGUUUUGAUGGAAGUUCUGGGAAGCAUCAGGUCUGCUAUGAUGAUGGUGAGAAAGAGGCCCUGUGCCUAGUCAAAGAGCGGUGGGAAGUAGAGAGUGUUGACAUGUGCAAAAAGGUGAGC